CCUACGGGUGGCAGCAGUCGAGAAUCAUUCACAAUGGGGGAAACCCUGAUGGUGCGACGCCGCGUGGGGGAAUGAAGGUCUUCGGAUUGUAAACCCCUGUCAUGUGGGAGCAAAUUAAAAAGAUAGUACCACAAGAGGAAGAGACGGCUAACUCUGUGCCAGCAGCCGCGGUAAUACAGAGGUCUCAAGCGUUGUUCGGAAUCACUGGGCGUAAAGCGUGCGUAGGCUGUUUCGUAAGUCGUGUGUGAAAGGCGCGGGCUCAACCCGCGGAAGGCACAUGAUACUGCGAGACUAGAGUAAGGGAGGGGGAACCGGAAUUCUCGGUGUAGCAGUGAAAUGCGUAGAUAGCGAGAGGAACACUCGUGGCGAAGGCGGGUUCCUGGACAUUAACUGACGCUGAGGCACGAAGGCCAGGGGAGCGAAAGGGAUUAGAUACCCCAGUAGUC
rnacentral:rRNA from 1 species